rnacentral:lncRNA from 1 species
UGACUGGUAGAAUAUCACUUUUUACUGGUGUACUUCUUUUCCUUUGGAGAAUAACGUUUGCUGGUAGACUUUCAAGCCUUAAACACCAAAAAACACUAAUAAAUGCAGCAGAUAAGAAAUAUGCAAAAACGAGAAAACAUUUGUCUGGAGACCUACAGGGAUAACAAACUCUACAGGUAGAGAUGUUAAUUUUGGAUCAUGCUAUCUCCAUAUUCCAAAUUAACUCAUAGGAUAACAACGUCCAAUCGUUUAUGACACCACAGUGAGCACAACUAGGUGUAUUCAGGGUGGAGGCUACAUCUGAGGCAAAAUACCUGUUUAAAGUAGGUCAUGUCACAGUAUUUCACGCGGAUGAUCUUUAGCAGUAAUGGAAAUGGGAUGGUGCCCUGCACUUUGGGAAACCCCCUCUGGGGCAGUGCAGACAGCAAGCCAGCAUUUGGCUGGAUUAUAAAUAACUAGAUUUGGCCUGGCUGCUCUGUGGAUUAUGCAAGUUCAGUGUAGACGAGGAAAAGCGGAUUAAGGGCCUCAUGUUGCCUCUUUGUGAGCCAGCAGUUUGCUCUUACUACACCGACAUGAGGCCAAGGAGCGGGACAGAGUGACGGCGGCUCCCCUGGCAGUGGGCAGGAGGCAAAACUUCAUAUGACAGCAUCUUGGAUCAUGGCACUCACUGGAGCAUGCACCUCACAUUGCCAAUCUGAACAGUCACCCGCACUGUUUCCUGAGAUCUUCAGGUCGGCGCCAACACCACUGCACCUAACUGGUUUCAGCAGCCAUGAGAUGGGGAUCUCCAUCACCUGAGACCAGCUGAUGAACACAGCAGCAUCCAUGAGCUGUUCUCAGCAGGAGCAGUGAGGCUGCGUGCUGUGCUGUGCUGGGCUGUGCCGUGCUGGGCUUGGCUAGCAGCAACUUCGCAGGAGUGCUGACAGCGUGUGGACAGAGAAGCUGUGGUCUUCUCAUUUCUCAUGCAUGCCCACCUUACUGUCCCUUCUAAGGCUUGCACACAAGACCUUAAGGAUAGCCACCCAACAUAUUAAAUGAAUUUUCAC